GUAGUCAUAUGCUUGUCUCAAAGAUUAAGCCAUGCAUGUCUAAGUAUAAGCAAUCAUACUGUGAAACUGCGAAUGGCUCAUUAUAUCAGUUAUCGUUUAUUUGAUAGUACCUUACUACUUGGAUAACCGUGGUAAUUCUAGAGCUAAUACAUGCUACAAACCCCGACUUCGGAAGGGGUGUAUUUAUUAGAUAAAAAACCAAUGCCCUUUGGGCUCUGUGGUGAUUCAUAAUAACUUUUCGAAUCGCAUGGCCUUGCGCCGGCGAUGGUUCAUUCAAAUUUCUGCCCUAUCAACUUUCGAUGGUAGGAUAGUGGCCUACCAUGGUUUCCACGGGUAACGGGGAAUUAGGGUUCUAUUCCGGAGAGGGAGCCUGAGAAACGGCUACCACAUCCAAGGAAGGCAGCAGGCGCGCAAAUUACCCAAUCCCGAUUCGGGGAGGUAGUGACAAUAAAUACUGAUGCAGGGCUCUUUUGGGUCUUGCAAUUGGAAUGAGUACAAUCUAAAUCCCUUAACGAGGAACAAUUGGAGGGCAAGUCUGGUGAACCUCAGUACUGCUGACGCCAGAGAUAGUGGGACGGUCCGCCGUUAUGCCCACUAGUCGAGCAUCCGAACCGUGAUGGGUGGAUGCCGGCGAGACAACCUGGAUCGGGGAAGGCUAAGGGCUGGCGUCUGUUACAGCGCAGCCUAUGCUAAUCCCGAGCGGAGUCGCCAGACCCGUGUAGAGCGCGCCAAGGUGUCGGUCGCUGUCAAGCGGCUUAAGGUACGUGCCUUCCCAUGGGAAACCAUGCCGAACACUGGAGCACCCAUCAUGCAAAGGUGUCGGACGCCCAAGCGUGGACAAGAGGCCAGCAGCCGCGGUAAUUCCAGCUCCAAUAGCGUAUAUUAAAGUUGUUGCAGUUAAAAAGCUCGUAGUUGAACCUUGGGCCUGGCUGGUCGGUCCGCCUCACCGCGUGCACUGAUCCGGCCGGGCCUUUCCUCCUGGGGAGCCGCAUGCCCUUCACUGGGUGUGUCGGGGAACCAGGACUUUUACUUUGAAAAAAUUAGAGUGUUCAAAGCAGGCCUUCGCUCGAAUACAUUAGCAUGGAAUAAUAGAAUAGGACGCGCGGUUCUAUUUUGUUGGUUUCUAGGACCGCCGUAAUGAUUAAUAGGGAUAGUCGGGGGCAUCAGUAUUCAAUUGUCAGAGGUGAAAUUCUUGGAUUUAUUGAAGACUAACUACUGCGAAAGCAUUUGCCAAGGAUGUUUUCAUUAAUCAGUGAACGAAAGUUAGGGGAUCGAAGACGAUCAGAUACCGUCGUAGUCUUAACCAUAAACUAUGCCGACUAGGGAUCGGGCGAUGUUAUCUUUUGACUCGCUCGGCACCUUACGAGAAAUCAAAGUCUUUGGGUUCUGGGGGGAGUACGUCAGCAAUGAUGAAACUUAAAGAAAUUGACGGAAGGGCACCACCAGGAGUGGAGCCUGCGGCUUAAUUUGACUCAACACGGGGAAACUCACCAGGUCCAGACAUGAAAAGGAUUGACAGAUUGAGAGCUCUUUCUUGAUCUCAUGGGUGGUGGUGCAUGGCCGUUCUUAGUUGGUGGAGUGAUUUGUCUGCUUAAUUGCGAUAACGAACGAGACCUUAACCUGCUAAAUAGCCCGGUUCGCUUUGGCGGAUCGCUGGCUUCUUAGAGGGACUAUCGGCUCAAGCCGAUGGAAGUUUGAGGCAAUAACAGGUCUGUGAUGCCCUUAGAUGUUCUGGGCCGCACGCGCGCUACACUGACAGAGCCAACGAGUGUCUUCCUUGGCCGAAAGGUCUGGGUAAUCUUGUAAACUCUGUCGUGCUGGGGAUAGAGCAUUGCAAUUAUUGCUCUUCAACGAGGAAUUCCUAGUAAGCGCAAGUCAUCAGCUUGCGUUGAUUAUGUCCCUGCCCUUUGUACACACCGCCCGUCGCUACUACCGAUUGAAUGGCUCAGUGAGGCCUUCGGACUGGCUCCAGGAGGUCGGCAACGACCACCCAGAGCCGGAAAGUUGGUCAAACUUGGUCAUUUAGAGGAAGUAAAAGUCGUAACAAGGUCUCCGUAGGUGAACCUGCGGA
rnacentral:rRNA from 1 species